AAGAUGAAGUGGCUAUCCUGGGUACCCCGUUUAGUGACCAGUGGUCGGACCCAACCUCUCCCUGAAGGGAUGAUGUGACAAGACCAAUCUCGCCACAUUGCAUUGGAGAAGCCUGGUUGCUCGCCUGCUGCCUCUGGACUAUGGCCCCCUGUUAAAAGACUUUAUUUUGCCUGCAGAAAAGCUGUAUUCAUGCUUUUCUGCCGGUUGUUCGGUAGAUUCAAUCUACCGAACAACCGCACGAAUGAAUAGACCACCU